rnacentral:rRNA from 1 species
GACGAACGCUGGCGGUGUGCUUAACACAUGCAAGUGGUGCGACGAACCAGAGCUUGCUCUGGGACAAAGCCGCGAACGGGUGAGUAACACGUGGGUAAUCUACCCCGAUGACCGGGACAACCCGAGGAAACUCGGGCUAAUACCGGAUGUGGUGCGGAGACAUAAGUCUCUUCACUAAAGGUAGCUUCGGCUUCCGCAUUGGGAGGGGCCCGCGGCCCAUUAGCUUGUUGGUGGGGUCAAGGCCUACCAAGGCAACGAUGGGUAGCUGGUCUGAGAGGACGAUCAGCCACACUGGGACUGAGACACGGCCCAGACUCCUACGGGAGGCAGCAGUGGGGAAUCUUGCGCAAUGCGCGAAAGCGUGACGCAGCAACACCGCGUGAGGGAAGAAGGCCUUAGGGUUGUAAACCUCUUUCAGAUGGGACGAAGGUUCUCCGGUGAAUAGCCGAGAGGAUUGACGGUACCGUCAGAAGAAGCUCCGGCUAACUACGUG